rnacentral:rRNA from 1 species
GACGAACGCUGGCGGCGUGCCUAAUACAUGCAAGUAGAACGCUGAAGGAGGAGCUUGCUCUUCUGGAUGAGUUGCGAACGGGUGAGUAACGCGUAGGUAACCUGCCUGGUAACGGGGGAUAACUAUUGGAAACGAUAGCUAAUACCGCAUAACAUUGACUAUUGCAUGAUAGUCAAUUAAAAGGUGCAAAUGCACCACUACCAGAUGGACCUGCGUUGUAUUAGCUAGUUGGUGGGGUAACGGCUCACCAAGGCGACGAUACAUAGCCGACCUGAGAGGGUGAUCGGCCACACUGGGACUGAGACACGGCCCAGACUCCUACGGGAGGCAGCAGUAGGGAAUCUUCGGCAAUGGACGGAAGUCUGACCGAGCAACGCCGCGUGAGUGAAGAAGGUUUUCGGAUCGUAAAGCUCUGUUGUAAGAGAAGAACGAGUGUGAGAGUGGAAAGUUCACACUGUGACGGUAUCUUACCAGAAAGGGACGGCUAACUACGUG